AUUGAACGCUGGCGGCAGGCCUAACACAUGCAAGUCGAACGGUAACAGGAAGCAGCUUGCUGCUUCGCUGACGAGUGGCGGACGGGUGAGUAAUGUCUGGGAAACUGCCUGAUGGAGGGGGAUAACUACUGGAAACGGUAGCUAAUACCGCAUAACGUCGCAAGACCAAAGAGGGGGACCUUCGGGCCUCUUGCCAUCGGAUGUGCCCAGAUGGGAUUAGCUAGUAGGUGGGGUAAAGGCUCACCUAGGCGACGAUCCCUAGCUGGUCUGAGAGGAUGACAAGCCACACUGGAACUGAGACACGGUCCAGACUCCUACGGGAGGCAGCAGUGGGGAAUAUUGGACAAUGGGCGCAAGCCUGAUGCAGACAUGCCGCGUGUAUGAAGAAGGCCUUCGGGUUGUAAAGUACUUUGAGCGGGGAGGAAGGUGUUGAGGUUAAUAACCUCAGCAAUUGACGUUACCCGCAGAAGAAGCACCGGCUAACUCCGUGCCAGCCGCCGCGGUAAUAC
rnacentral:rRNA from 1 species